AGUAACGGCGAGUGAAGCGGCAACAGCUCAAAUUUGAAAUCUGGCCCCUCCCCCGGGGGGGCCCGAGUUGUAAUUUGCAGAGGAUGCUUCUGGCGAGGCGCCUUCCGAGUUCCCUGGAACGGGACGCCACAGAGGGUGAGAGCCCCGUCUGGUCGGACACCGAGCCUCUGUGAAGCUCCUUCGACGAGUCGAGUAGUUUGGGAAUGCUGCUCUAAAUGGGAGGUAUAUGUCUUCUAAAGCUAAAUACCGGCCAGAGACCGAUAGCGCACAAGUACAGUGAUGGAAAGAUGAAAAGCACUUUGAAAAGAGGGUUAAACAGUACGUGAAAUUGUUGAAAGGGAAGCGCUCAC
rnacentral:rRNA from 1 species